UACGAAGGGGGCUAGCGUUGCUCGGAAUCACUGGGCGUAAAGGGCUCGUAGGCGGCCAACUAAGUCAGACGUGAAAUCCCUCAGCUUAACUGGGGAACUGCGUCUGAUACUGGAUGGCUUGGAUUUGGGAGAGGAAUGCGGAAUUCCAGGUGUAGCGGUGAAAUGCGUAGAUAUCUGGAGGAACACCGGUGGCGAAGGCGGCAUUCUGGACCAAUAUUGACGCUGAGGAGCGAAAGCCAGGGGAGCAAACGGG
rnacentral:rRNA from 1 species